rnacentral:lncRNA from 1 species
UAUGGUGGUGGUGAUAAUUAGCUUUUGGGUUAACUUUAUAUAGAGCUUGUGUUUGAUAAUUAGCUAAAUUUACAUAUUCAAUAUUAGUGUCUCCAAGAAUUCUUUGUUUUCAAUUGCAUUAAUAGGAAAUUGUAACAUACAAUAUAUAUUUUAAUAAGAUAUUGCAAUGCAAUUAAAACAACAUGAUGCAUCAUUCCACCUUUCAUUACUUGCA